rnacentral:rRNA from 1 species
GACGAACGCUGGCGGCGUGCUUAACACAUGCAAGUCGAACGGAAAGGCCCUGCUUUUGUGGGGUGCUCGAGUGGGGAACGGGUGAGUAACACGUGAGUAACCUGCCCUUGUCUUUGGGAUAACUUCAGGAAACUGGGGCUAAUACCGGAUAGGAGCUCCUGCUGCAUGGUGGGGGUUGGAAAGUUUCGGCGGUUGGGGAUGGACUCGCGGCUUAUCAGCUUGUUGGUGGGGUAGUGGCUUACCAAGGCUUUGACGGGUAGCCGGCCUGAGAGGGUGACCGGCCACAUGAGGACUGAGAUACGGCCCAGACUCCUACGGGAGGCAGCAGUGGGGAAUAUUGCACAAUGGGCGGAAGCCUGAUGCAGCAACGCCGCGUGCGGGAUGACGGCCUUCGGGGUGUAAACCGCUGUCGCCUGUGACGAAGCGUGAGUGACGGUAAUGGGUAAAGAAGCACCGGCUAACUACGUG